rnacentral:rRNA from 1 species
CAGCAGCCGCAGUAAUACCGGCGGCCCGAGUGGCGGCCACUAUUAUUGGGCUUAAAGCGUCCGUAGCCGGGUUGGUUAGUCUCCCGGGAAAUCUGGCCGCUUAACGGUCAGAAUUCCGGGAGAUACUGCCAGCCUAGGGACCGGGAGAGGCCGAGGGUAUUCCCGGAGUAGGGGUGAAAUCCUAUAAUCCCGGGAGGACCACCUGUGGCGAAGGCGCUCGGCUGGAACGGGUCCGACGGUGAGGGACGAAGGCCAGGGGAGCAAACCGGAUUAGAUACCCGGGUAGUCCUGGCUGUAAACGAUGCGGACUUUGUGUCGGACAAGCUAUGAGCUUGUCCGGUGCCGGAGGGAAACCGUUAAGUCCGCCGCCUGGGGAGUACGGCCGCAAGGCUGAAACUUAAAGGAUUGGCGGG